rnacentral:rRNA from 1 species
CAGAGGGGGCAAGCGUUGUUCGGAAUUACUGGGCGUAAAGGGCGCGUAGGCGGCCUGCUAAGUCGAACGUGAAAUCCCCGGGCUCAACCCGGGAACUGCGUCCGAUACUGGUUGGCUUGAAUUCGGGAGAGGGAUGUGGAAUUCCAGGUGUAGCGGUGAAAUGCGUAGAUAUCUGGAGGAACACCGGUGGCGAAGGCGGCAUCCUGGACCGAUAUUGACGCUGAUGCGCGAAAGCCAGGGGAGCAAACGGGAUUAGAUACCCCGGUAGUCCUGGCCCUAAACGAUGAAUGCUUGGUGUGGCGGGUAUCGAUCCCUGCCGUGCCGAAGCUAACGCAUUAAGCAUUCCGCCUGGGGAGUACGGUCGCAAGGCUG